rnacentral:rRNA from 1 species
UACGAGUACCCCAAGCGUUAUCCGGAAUCAUUGGGCGUAAAGGGUGUGUAGGUGGCGAUGUUAGUCUUCUGUCAAAAUCUUGGGCUUAACCCAAGUCUUGCAGAGGAAACGGCAUUGCUCGAGGAUGCGAGAGGUGAAUGGAACUCAUGGAGUAGGGGUAAUAUCCGUUGAUAUCAUGGGGAACACCAAAAGCGAAGGCAAUUCACUGGCGCAUUCCUGACACUGAAACACGAAAGCGUGGGUAGCGAAUGGG